AUUGAACGCUGGCGGCAUGCCUUACACAUGCAAGUCGAACGGUAACAGGUCUUCGGAUGCUGACGAGUGGCGAACGGGUGAGUAAUACAUCGGAACGUGCCUAGUAGUGGGGGAUAACUACUCGAAAGAGUGGCUAAUACCGCAUGAGAUCUACGGAUGAAAGCAGGGGAUCGCAAGACCUUGUGCUACUAGAGCGGCCGAUGGCAGAUUAGGUAGUUGGUGGGAUAAAAGCUUACCAAGCCGAGGAUCUGUAGCUGGUCUGAGAGGACGAUCAGCCACACUGGGACUGAGACACGGCCCAGACUCCUACGGGAGGCAGCAGUGGGGAAUUUUGGACAAUGGGCGAAAGCCUGAUCUAGCAAUGCCGCGUGCAGGAUGAAGGCCUUCGGGUUGUAAACUGCUUUUGUACGGAACGAAAAGCCCCGGGUUAAUACCCUGGGGUCAUGACGGUACCGUAAGAAUAAGCACCGGCUAACUACGUGCCAGCAGCCGCCGUAA
rnacentral:rRNA from 1 species